GUGGNNNAAUUCCUGGAGUAGCGGUAAAAUGCGCAGAUAUCAGGAGGAACACCAGUGGCGAAGGCGGCUCCCUGGGCCGAGACUGACGCUCAGAGGCGAAAGCUAGGGGAGCGAACAGGAUUAGAGACCCUGGUAGUCCUAGCCCUAAACGAUGGAUGCUAGGUGUGGGGGCGAUGAGUUUCCGUGCCGGAGCAAACGCGAUAAGCAUCCCGCCUGGGGACUACGGCCGCAAGGUUAAAACUCAAACGAAUUGACGGGGGCCCGCACAAGCAGCGGAGCGUGUGGUUUAAUUCGAUGCUACACGAAGAACCUUACCUGGGUUUGACAUGUAGGUGGUAGCGAGGCGAAAGCUGAGCGACCCUUCGGGGAGCCUACACAGGUGCUGCAUGGCUGUCGUCAGCUCGUGCCGUGAGGUGUCGGGUUAAGUCCCGUAACGAGCGCAACCCUUGCUCCUAGUUAUACGUGUCUAGGGGGACUGCCGGCGGGAAGCCGGAGGAAGGUGGGGAUGACGUCAAGUCAGCAUGGCCCUUAUGUCCAGGGCUACACACACGCUACAACGGCCAGUACAAAGGGUAGCGAAGCCGCGAGGUGGAGCGAAUCUCAGCAAAGCUGGUCGUAGUUCGGAUUGCAGGCUGCAACCCGCCUGCAUGAAGCUGGAGUUGCUAGUAACCGCGCGUCAGCUAUAGUGCGGUGAAUACGUUCCCGGGCCUUGUACACACCGCCCGUCACGUCAUGGGAGUCGGUAACGCCUGAAGGCGGUAGCUUGACC
rnacentral:rRNA from 1 species